rnacentral:rRNA from 1 species
AGUGAACGCUGGCGGUAGGCCUAACACAUGCAAGUCGAACGGCAGCACAGUAAGAGCUUGCUCUUACGGGUGGCGGGUGGCGGACGGGUGAGGAAUACAUCGGAAUCUACUUUUUCGUGGGGGUUAACGUAGGGAAACUUACGCUAAUACCGCAUACGACCUACGGGUGAAAGCAGGGGAUCUUCGGACCUUGCGCGUUUGAAUGAGCCGAUGUCGGAUUAGCUAGUUGGCGGGGUAAAGGCCCACCAAGGCGACGAUCCGUAGCUGGUCUGAGAGGAUGAUCAGCCACACGGGAACUGAGACACGGUCCAGACUCCUACGGGAGGCAGCAGUGGGGAAUAUUAGACAAUGGGCGCAAGCCUGGUCCAGCCAUACCGCGUGGGUGAAGAAGGCCUUCGGGUUGUAAAGCCCUUUUGUUGGGAAAGAAAAGCAGCAGGUUAAUACCCCGCUGUUCUGACGGUACCCAAAGAAUAAGCACCGGCUAACUUCGUG